rnacentral:rRNA from 1 species
GCAUGUCUAUAGCAUAGUGUUAAUUCAUUGGAUCCCAUUAUAACUCUGCAGUUAAGUGUGCUCAGGCUAGAGUAGUACUGAGAUGGGUGACCGCCCAGGAAGUCUUAAUGUUUUACAUGCC